CAGUCGCCACGGUAACACGUAGGUGGCAAGCGUUGUCCGGAAUUAUUGGGCGUAAAGGGCGCGUAGGCGGUUUUGACAGUCAGAUGUGAAAUUCCUGGGCUUAACCUGGGGGCUGCAUUUGAGACGUCAAGACUAGAGUGUGAGAGAGGGUUGUGGAAUUCCCAGUGUAGAGGUGAAAUUCGUAGAUAUUGGGAAGAACACCGGUGGCGAAGGCGGCAACCUGGCUCAUUACCGACGCUGAGGCGCGAAAGCGUGGGGAGCAAACAGGAUUAGAUACCCCCGUAGUCCCUGUCUCUUAUAC
rnacentral:rRNA from 1 species